rnacentral:rRNA from 1 species
AUGAGUUGCGAACGGGUGAGUAACGCGUAGGUAACCUGCCUCUUAGCGGGGGAUAACUAUUGGAAACGAUAGCUAAUACCGCAUAAAAGUCGACAUUGCAUGAUGUUGAUUUGAAAGGUGCAAAUGCAUCACUAAGAGAUGGACCUGCGUUGUAUUAGCUAGUUGGUGAGGUAACGGCUCACCAAGGCGACGAUACAUAGCCGACCUGAGAGGGUGAUCGGCCACACUGGGACUGAGACACGGCCCAGACUCCUACGGGAGGCAGCAGUAGGGAAUCUUCGGCAAUGGGGGCAACCCUGACCGAGCAACGCCGCGUGAGUGAAGAAGGUUUUCGGAUCGUAAAGCUCUGUUGUAAGAGAAGAACGAGUGUGAGAGUGGAAAGUUCACACUGUGACGGUAACUUACCAGAAAGGGACGGCUAACUACGUGCCAGCAGCCGCGGUAAUACGUAGGUCCCGAGCGUUAUCCGGAUUUAUUGGGCGUAAAGCGAGCGCAGGCGGUUAGAUAAGUCUGAAGUUAAAGGCUGUGGCUUAACCAUAGUACGCUUUGGAAACUGUUUAACUUGAGUGCAGAAGGGGAGAGUGGAAUUCCAUGUGUAGCGGUGAAAUGCGUAGAUA